AUGACGAAGGGGAAAGGCCGCAACCCAGGCGCCAGCGGGCUCGACAAGCACCUCAAGCGCAAGACCCACCUAGAACGGUCGCAGCCGAAGUCGCGCCAGCAUCUCGGCCAGCUCGAGAAGCACAAGGAUCAUGUUCUCCGUGCAAAGAAGCGCAAGGUCAAGGUGCGCCGCCUGCAGGAAAUCAAGCGCGCCGCAGCGCAGCGCAACCCAGAUGAGUUCAACAUUGGCAUGACGAAGUCGGUGAUGGAUGUGGCGAAUGGCCGCAUGAGGAAGCGCCGGGUUCGACUGGUGGACUCUGACCGGAAGAAGGACAUGCAAAAGACGAUUGAGCACAACCGGCGCAACGUGCAGUAUCUCGAGUUCAAGGCCAAGGCCGACCAGCAGCGGGCGACCGAGCUGCUGAACGAGGAGGCGGCAGCAGCGCUGACUUCGACUGCCCCGCAGAACAAGCACAUCGUCUUUGUAAACUCCGAGGAGGAGUUCCGCAGCUUCAACCCGCUCAAGCACUUCGACGCGACGCCGGAGAUGAUGCGGCAGCACCCGGCGGUGCGCGGUCGCAUCCGCGUCCUGGAGAAGACGGUGAUGCCGGAGGAGAUUCUCAUGAGUGGCGGGCACCAGAUGAAAUCCGCUGCGCAGAAACGCAAGGAGCGGCGCGAGGUGCAGGAGAAGAUGCGCCGCAGCGGUGCCGACGCCACCCCCGAGACACGAGCCGCUUUUGUGGAGCGCCUGCGCGCCAAGAAAGAGCUGAAGCAGUACCAGUUUACCGAUCUACUGGAAGAGGUGAAGCGCGAGAACGAGGCGACCGCCUCCUCAUCCAAGGGCACCCCAGGCGAUGACGACGAGCAUGAGGAGGCGGCAGCGCAGGACGAGGUCACGCGGCUGCUUGAGUGGCGCCGUGAACAGGAGCGUCAGGCGGCGAUAGCGACGGCGCGGCACGUGCGCGAGGUCGGGCAGCGCAUACAGCGAAGCAAGAGUCUCUCUGCCUUGGCAAAGAGGAUCCGCAAGCAGUCGCAAGGCAUCAAGCGGCAAAUGGAGCAGAGGCGGGAGAGCCGCUUCAAGCCCGGCACGACGCGGCGCGCACGGUAA
rnacentral:misc_RNA from 1 species